GAUGAACGCUGGCGGCGUGCCUAAUACAUGCAAGUCGAGCGAACGGACGAGAAGCUUGCUUCUCUGAUGUUAGCGGCGGACGGGUGAGUAACACGUGGAUAACCUACCUAUAAGACUGGGAUAACUUCGGGAAACCGGAGCUAAUACCGGAUAAUAUUUUGAACCGCAUGGUUCAAAAGUGAAAGACGGUCUUGCUGUCACUUAUAGAUGGAUCCGCGCUGCAUUAGCUAGUUGGUAAGGUAACGGCUUACCAAGGCAACGAUGCAUAGCCGACCUGAGAGGGUGAUCGGCCACACUGGAACUGGGACACGGUCCAGACUCCUACGGGAGGCAGCAGUAGGGAAUCUUCCGCAAUGGGCGAAAGCCUGACGGAGCAACGCCGCGUGAGUGAUGAAGGUCUUCGGAUCGUAAAACUCUGUUAUUGGGGAAGAACAUAUGUGUAAGUAACUGUGCACAUCUUGACGGUACCUAAUCAGAAAGCCACGGCUAACUACGUG
rnacentral:rRNA from 1 species